AACUCUGAGACAGGUGCUGCAUGGCUGUCGUCAGCUCGUGUUGUGAAAUGUUGGGUUAAGUCCCGCAACGAGCGCAACCCUUAUCCUUUGUUGCCAGCGGUCCGGCCGGGAAACUCAAAGGAGACUGCCAGUGAUAAACUGGAGGAAGGUGGGGAUGACGUCAAGUCAUCAUGGCCCUUACGAGUAGGGCUACACACGUGCUACAAUGGCGCAUACAAAGAGAAGCGAACUCGCGAGAGCAAGCGGACCUCAUAAAGUGCGUCGUAGUCCGGAUUGGAGUCUGCAACUCGACUCCAUGAAGUCGGAAUCGCUAGUAAUCGUAGAUCAGAAUGCUACGGUGAAUACGUUCCCGGGCCUU
rnacentral:rRNA from 1 species